AACGCACCUUGCGCUCCUUGGUAUUCUGAGGAGCAUGCCUGUUUGAGUGUCAUGAAAUUCUCAACUGCUUCAACUUUUGUGGUUGAAGUGAAGUUGGACUUGGAGGAAUCAUUGCUGGCGUGACCUUUUAGGUUGCUUGUUAGCUCCUCUUAAAUGGAUGAACUUUCCAUUUACAAAGUAACAUCAAUGUGAUAAUUAUCUACGUUGGAUGAGUUUGUACAAGGAAAGGUAUAUCUUGGAGUUCAAAUCCUUGAUGAAACAAAUGACAAAUUUGACCUCAAAUCAGGUAGGACUACCCGCUGAACUUAA
rnacentral:ncRNA from 2 species